UACAUGGGGUGCAACCGUUGCUCGGAAUCAUUGGGCGUAAAGCGCGCGUAGGCGGUUAUUUAAGUUGGAUGUGAAAGCCCUCGGCUUAACUGAGGAAGUGCAUCCAAAACUGAAUAGCUAGAGUACGAAAGAGGGUCGCGGAAUUCCCGGUGUAGUGGUGAAAUUCGUAGAUAUCGGGAGGAACACCGGUGGCGAAGGCGGCGACCUGGGUCGAGACUGACGCUGAGGCGCGAAAGCGUGGGGAGCAAACAGG
rnacentral:rRNA from 1 species